AUGAACGCUGGCGGCGUGCCUAAUACAUGCCAGUCGAGCGAACAGAUGAGGAGCUUGCUCCUCUGACGUUAGCGGCGGACGGGUGAGUAACACGUGGAUAACCUACCUAUAAGACUGGGAUAACUUCGGGAAACCGGAGCUAAUACCGGAUAAUAUAUUGAACCGCAUGGUUCAAUAGUGAAAGACGGUUUUGCUGUCACUUAUAGAUGGAUCCGCGCCGCAUUAGCUAGUUGGUAAGGUAACGGCUUACCAAGGCAACGAUGCGUAGCCGACCUGAGAGGGUGAUCGGCCACACUGGAACUGAGACACGGUCCAGACUCCUACGGGAGGCAGCAGUAGGGAAUCUUCCGCAAUGGGCAAAAGCCUGACGGAGCAACGCCGCGUGAGUGAUGAAGGUCUUCGGAUCGUAAAACUCUGUUAUUAGGGAAGAACAAAUGUGUAAGUAACUAUGCACGUCUUGACGGUACCUAAUCAGAAAGCCACGGCUAACUACGUG
rnacentral:rRNA from 1 species